GAGGAGUCUGAGCUCCAGGUUUCAGAGCUGGAGGGAGAAGGAGGACUGAGGAGGAGGAGGGAGGAGGAGCAGGAGGAGUCCUGAGGGAGGAGGAGGAGCACUGAGGAGGAGGGGGAGCAGGAAGAUAUUUUAGGAGUCCAGGACCAGCAGAGACUUCCUGCUUCAGAUUCAAAAAACAAAAGCAAAAAAACUACAGAUUUAUCAGAGACGUCUCCAUGACGACUAGAAACACCCCCCUUCUCCCCCUCCUCCUCCUCCUCCCUCUCUCCCCCCCCCCCCCCCUCCUCCCUCAGUAGGAGUAAAGAUAAACUCGAACUUAGCGAGGAGCAGAAACUCUCACCACCACUUUUCUCUCCCCCCCCUCUCUCUCCCUCUCCCCCUCCCCCUCCUCCUCCCCCUCUCUCCCCCCUCCCUCUCUCCUCCUCCUCCUCCUCUCAGUAGGAG